rnacentral:lncRNA from 1 species
CUCUGCCUCUAUUUCUCUCUGCCUCUGCCUCUCUUUCUCUCUGGCUCUCUUUCGCUCUCCUCUUUUUCUCUCAACCAUAAGCUUGUUAUUGCCUUUUGUUUCGGGGAUCAUUUCCCUCCUCAGGGAUUUCAUCUGUUGAGGGCUCUUUCUCUCUGCCUCUCUUUCUCUCUGCCUCUAUAUCUCUCUUUCACUCUUUCUCCCUUUCUCUCUGCCUCUAUCUCUCUUUCUCUCUGCCUUUCUUUCUCUCUGCCUCUCUUUCACUCUGCCUCUCUUUCACCCUGCCACUGCCUCUCUUUCUCUCUGCCUCUCGUUCUCGCUUUCUCUCUGCCUCUUUCUCUCUAUCUCUCUUCCUCUCUUCCUCUCUUUCUCUCUGCCUCUCUUUCUCUCUGCCUCUCUUUCUCUCUGCCUCUCUUUCUCUCUGCCUCUCUUUCUCUCUGCCUUUUCAUCUCUCUCUAUCUGCCUCUAUAUCUCUCUUUCACUCUUUCUCUCUUUCACUCUGCCUCUGCCUCUCGUUCUCGCUUUCUCUCUGCCUCUCUUUCUCUCUGCCUCUAUUUCUCUCUGCCUCUUCCUCUCUUUCUCUCUUCCUCUCUUUCUCUCUUCCUCUCUUUCUCUCUACCUCUCUUUCUCUCUGGCUCUCUUUCUCUCUGCCUUUUCAUCUCUCUCUCUCUCUGCCUCUCUUUCUCUCUGCCUCUCAACCUCUCUGCCUCUUUUUCUCUCAAUCUCUCUGCCUCGCUUUCUCUUUGCCUCUUCCUCUCUGCCUCUUUCUCGCUUUUCUCUCUGCCUCUGUUUCUCUCGGCCUCUCUUUCUGUCAUGACUGUCUUUCUCUUUUAAUCACGCUCUGUCUCUCUCAUUUCAUAUACCGUUUUCUCUCUGUCCCUCUCUUUCCACCUCUACCUCUCUCACCUCUCUCUAACCCUAUUUCCAUCUCCCCAUUCUCUCUCUAUCUCUCUCUUUCAAUCUACCCCGUCUUUCUCUCUGUCCCUCUUUUUAUGUACUUCUCUCUCUCUACAUCUCUCUCUCUCUCUACAUCUCUCUACAUCUCUCUACAUCCCUCUUCUUGUGGCUUUGUCGUGC